AUACGUCCUACACAGACAGGCUGCAACUGCUAUUGAAUCAAUCUGCUGUCAAUCACUCAGAAGCCACUCCCAUUCAAACGAGCUCCAGAAACCAACGACAUUGACAGCGUUUCCUACUCUUGUUUACCAACAUUUCAUGCAAGCUGCAAAGCUGUGGUUUGAUUCUCUUAAACGUUCGACAUGGCUUCAAGCUUGAGGAAACCCCAGCGCCACCACGAACCAGCGGAAGAGAGCAGGUCCCAAACCAGACCUGACAGAGGAACAGAGGCAGGAGAUCAAAGAAGCUUUCGAUCUGUUUGACACAGACGGGUCUGGAAACAUAGAUGUAAAGGAACUGAAGGUUGCAAUGCGUGCUCUGGGGUUUGAGCCGAAGAAAGAAGAGAUAAAAAAGAUGAUUGCUGAUAUUGAUAAAGAAGGAUCAGGUGUAAUCAGCUUUAAUGAUUUCCUUUCUAUGAUGACACAGAAAAUGGUAAGUCUGCGAGCUGAAUUAUAAUAUAACCAAUCAGACAACUAUCUGGCCACAGUUGCAAACCUCAGGUGUCUACGUGGAAAAUGA